rnacentral:rRNA from 1 species
CCUAAGGCGAGGCCGAAAGGCGUAGUCGAUGGGAACCAGGUUAAUAUUCCUGGGCCAGGAGGAUGUGACGGAUCUCGAAGGUUGUCUGCCCUUAUCGGAUUGGGUGGGCCGCUCAGAGGUUCCUGGAAAUAGCCCUCCAUCAGACCGUACCCUAAACCGACACAGGUGGACUGGUAGAGUAUACCAAGGCGCUUGAGAGAACCACGUUAAAGGAACUCGGCAAAAUGCCUCCGUAAGUUCGCGAGAAGGAGGCCCCGUCUGUAGGCAACUAUGGGCGGGGGGCACAAACUAGGGGGUGGCGACUGUUUACUUAAAACACAGGGCUGUGCGAAGCCGUAAGGCGACGUAUACAGUCUGACGCCUGCCCGGUGCUGGAAGAUUAAGAGGAGGGGUGCAAGCUCUGAAUUGAAGUCCCAGUAAACGGCGCCGUAACAAUAACGGUCUAAGGUAGCGAAAUUCCUUGUCGGGUAA